UCACUUGGAGAGUCAAAUGAAUUGGUCAUGGGAAUCAUUUGGCUCCUGCCAGGAAAAAUUGGGGAUCUCUGAUUGUGUGGUUGGUGUCCUGCACUUUUAGGGGGAAUUGGCAAGUCCAUAUAGUUUCCAGCAACAUGAGCGAAUAAGGUAGGAGAUAGAAGUUCCAUAGAGUGCAGUGAGUUAUUAGAAAUUCUCAAGCUCCCAAGGGAACCUGGAUGAAAACCAGAAGUCUCAGGAGAUUCCCCUCCAUAAGCAUGUCGCCUGGCCCAGAGAGAAGAAUUAACAGUUGGUGCUGAUCCCACAUGGU
rnacentral:misc_RNA from 1 species